ensembl:lncRNA
CAGGGCUCUUGUGGCCAAACAUUAUUAUAAAUGUUCCAAGUUCAGGGCCCCAUGUUCCCCAACAACGUAGGGAGAGGAAUCCAGCCAGGAUAAAACAGCCUUGUCUCUUCAUGUUACUGCGAGGCUGUUCUUUUGCAGAGAUGAGGAAAGGACCCAGCCUGAUUAAUGUCAAGGUCUUCAUUGCAUUCUGUUGCGUGCAUGCAGGGAAGCCAGUUCUGCUGAGGCGCCCUGCCAACACAGAGAAGCCAAGCCUGUUAAAAGACAUGCUCUUCGGUCUUCUACUUUCCUGUCCAUGACAAGUGAGAGGUCAGAGCUAGAAGAACAUGGGGUGGCUAUAUACACUUACAGAAAUUUCCUAAAAUCCUUCCUGGGAGAAGAUAAAGAGAAGUGAAGUCGCUCAGUCAUGUCCAAUUGUUUGCGACCCCAUGGACUGCAGCCUACAACGCUCCUCCGUCCAUGAGAUUUUCCAGGUACAUCUUAAAAUUGAACUAAGAUGAUUUAAAUGAAGACUGUCAAAGCCAAUUUUGGAUUGACUGGAAAUAGUUGAAGAUUUGAUAGAUAUGAUGUAAUAAGAGUUCUCCCUCACAAAGAACAUGCGUUUUUUCCAAUUGAUCUCAUUAUGAAGAUGGCACAACUUGUAUAUAAUUGACUUAUUUUAUAGGCAGGAUGGUGAGUUGAACUGAAGGACUAACUGCUUUCAUCACUGUCAAGUCACCACAGAUGUUCUGCUGAAAAAAGAGAAAUAGCCUUGCUGAAUUGGUUUGAAGCAGAGACUAAUAGGCAAUUAGGGCUUGGUCUGGUCUGAUGGCUUGGUGUAGCAAAUGCUGGGAACCAGUGUGUUGCAGUAGUGAAUGCCCAACAAAUGAAAUGGUUGUCUCACUCUUCUUAGGCAGUGAAUGCCCAACAAAUGAAAUGGUUGUCUCACUCUUCUUAGGCAGUUCGUUCAACUCCAUCAUCUAUCGGAAGCCAAGGGAAAAAAGACCACUGAUUGCUAAAGAUCACACACUUUUAGCAAACAUUAAUGUGCAAGUGUGAUGGGAAAUUUUGUCUAAUGAGUUCACCUAAAACAGAGCUCUUAUUUCACAAACAUAUAGGAUAUUUUAUUCACCUCAAAGUCUGAAAAGAUUAUGGGGCUUAGACCCAGAAGAUCUGCAUCAGGUCUGGCCCCGCCAAUAGCUAGCUGUGCAACUCCUGAUUUGCUAGCAUCUACAUCUCCAGAAGUUGCAUCAUGAGGUGGCUCCAAUGGUAAAGAAGCUGACUGCCAAUUCAGGAGACGUAAGAGAUGCAGGUUAAAUCCCUGGGUCGGGAAGAUCCCCUGGAGGAGGGCAUGGCAAUCCAUUCCAGUAUUCCUGCCUGGAAAAUCCCAUGGACAGAGGAGCCUAGUGGGCUACAGUCCAUGGGGUUGCAGAGUCAGACACCACUGAAGCAACUCACCGCACAACCAUGUACAUCUCCAGGAGUUGCAUCCAUGACACAACUACUGAGAGAGGGAAGGCAUUAGUGCCUGGGAGGUAGAAGCUUUUGAUUUCCCUUUUUGGUUGUUGGCCUGUCAGAAAAAAAGAUGUUCAUCAUCCUGAACCCUCCCUUGUGCCUCCCUUUUUCUCAAUUUCAGCCCUCUCAAAUCUUUCCUCUGCUAUCCAUAAACACAGAAUUCUAAAGUGAGAGGCUUUCAGGAUAUAUUGUACUAAUACAUCAUCAACAUUGUCAUUAUGAUGUAUUAACACAAUGCAUCAUCAUAGACCUGUCAAAGCUGUGAUUUAUGACUCAAAAGUGUGUUGUGAUGUAGCAAGGCAUCAGGGACUUCAUUGACUGAAUGCUUGUUUAUUUUUACACUUAAGGGCUUUGAAAGUAAGUUUCACACUACUUUUCCAAAAAGAAGAAUUAGGGGAAGACUUUGAAAGGAAGACUCCAUUGCAAAACACUGAAGGGGCCAAUGGGUCACACUUAAGAUAUAUAAAGGUUUGUGUUUUCCCAGACCACUUUGAAUUCAGAAUCAGACUUCCACACUCCAACUCAUUUGGUUCCCACUGGAAGAAUCUAGUCUUUUCCAUACCUUUCCACCCCUCUAUUUGAACUCCCUUCAGUUAAGUGUGUGAGGUAUGGUAGGAAAGGUAUACAUUAGAGGCUUUCUUUCACUGCCAAAAGUAAUAAGGAUAGUGUUAUAUUUUAUGAGAGUAAUUAAUGUGAUUUUGCAGGGGAAAUCUGCUUGCAAUGUAGCUAGGGACUGGCAUUACACAUUUUCUUUCUGAGCAUUAAGUUCUUUCAUAAUGUCCUUCUCAAAGUAUUAAGCACAUACUGCGUGAACCACAUACACCACUGAGCAUGGUGCCAAGAGAAAGACAGAAGAGUUAGGUGGAGCCAUUGCAAAAAAAGAAAAAGAUAUAAGAAGGGAAUUAAAGCCAGCUAAGGAGAAAUAUACACAGACUUCCCUGUAGCUCAAAUGGUAAAGAAUCUGCCUGUGAGGCAGAAGACCAGGGUUCAAUCCCUGGGUUGGGAAGUUCCUCUCAACCCACUCCCGUAUUCUUGCCUGGAGAAUUCCAUGGACAGAGAAGCCUGGCGGGCUACAGUCUGUGGGGUCACAAAGAGUCAGACAUGACUGAGUAACACAAAAGGAGAAAUAUUGUAUCACUCGACUUAUAAUAGCCCCUUGAAAAUGACUGAGAUGGAAGAAGAGUCAUCAGAAAACGGUUCUGGAAAAGAUGAGUCACUGGGCAAAGUCCUAUGUUAAGGAAGAGAUGAGAAGGAUGUCUGAUUGUCUCCAGCUCCAGGAUGACAGUUCUUUCCAGAAUAUAGUCCUUCCUUGGCAUCUGUGGUGAGUUGACUCCAGGACCCCUGUGGAUACCCAAAUCCACGAAUGCUCAAGUUCCCAACAUAAAAUGGCAGAGUACAGUUGGCCAUUGGAAUUGGCAUCUGUACACUUUCCCCUACUUAUUCCCCAGAGCCUGGUUUCUUAAGGGCUUAAAGGAUAUUAAAGCUGGAGUCUGAAAAGUUGGUUUGACUGAGGUCCUUUUAGCCUCCUCUGUAGAGCUCACCUUCACCUUUCAAUUUGUCUAGCCAGCAGCAUUAUCACUUUCACAAGUAGCAAAAUCUUUAAUCAU